UACGGAGGGUGCAAGCGUUAUCCGGAUUCACUGGGUUUAAAGGGUGCGUAGGUGGGUCUGUAAGUCAGUGGUGAAAUCCCCGAGCUUAACUUGGGAACUGCCGUUGAUACUAUAGAUCUUGAAUAUCGUGGAGGUAAGCGGAAUAUGUCAUGUAGCGGUGAAAUGCUUAGAUAUGACAUAGAACACCAAUUGCGAAGGCAGCUUACUACACAGUUAUUGACACUGAGGCACGAAAAGCGUGGGUAGCGAAUGGG
rnacentral:rRNA from 1 species